CGCGGAGUGGAGCAGUUUGGUAGCUCGCGAGGCUCAUAACCUUGAGGUCACGGGUUCAAAUCCCGUCUCCGCAA
rnacentral:tRNA from 1 species